GUAAAUUAUAAAGAUGAGGUUUGAGUUUUAAGCUGCUCCACUUUUGCUGAAGAAAACUGCCUGGUUUAAAAGAACUUGCUGUGUUGAGAGGAGAAUGCAAAUAUUUAUUUUUGUACCCAUUUCUCUCUUUCCUGGAGAUACAGGGUGUGCUGGGCUUCUGUUACUGUGUGUGGUUUUAGUAAAGACAGUUUUCUCCACAUUUUCCUCAGUUACCUGAUUGACAUCAAGGCAUGUUCUUGAGAAUCCUGAGGAUCUGAAAGCUAAUGCUACGAGGCUUCCUCUGCAGCCUAAUGAAAGCUCAUCUUACUGCGGUAGAACUCCUCUUGCUUCAGCAAGGAUUUUGGGACGAAAAUAGACCUUCAAUUGGAAAUUUAAGCUGGUGUCAUGUAGAAAUGUGGGGAGUUCGGAAGAACUGGAAGAGUUGAUGUAUCAUAAUUGGAUCGAAUCUGUCAGCACAGAGAGAGCAAGUGCAGAAACUGAGGAGUUGUUUCAUCAUUUCUCCCUCUGGUCAGGUCUCCAACACCUACGUUUGUGUUCACCAUCGUGUGAAUCAGAGUAAUAAAGGCUGUGGGUGAACCAGCAGGAUGAACAGUAUCUCAACAAGAGGAGCAGAUUCUUUCCAGGUCUGUCAUCUGUCUGUCUGUCAACACAUAACCAUUCAUUUCCUAAGCACAAGUACUGCAUCCCAUCAGCUGUGAUACUCUUACCUUUACUGCAGGUAAACCACACUUGUAGGUAUGACACCUGAUUUGACUUUAAAAUGUCUCAAUACUGCACAGUUUGCCUUUAAAUGUAAUGUAUUGUAGAAUCCCAGAAUGGCUGGGGUGGAAAGGGACUUUAAAGCCCAUCCCAUUCCAUCCCCUGCCA